GUGGGGAAUAUUGGGCAAUGGGCGAAAGCCUGACCCAGCAACGCCGCGUGAAGGAAGAAGGUUUUCGGAUCGUAAACUUCUAUCCUUGGUGAAGAUAAUGACGGUAGCCAAGAAGGAAGCCCCGGCUAACUACGUGCCAGCAGCCGCGGUAAUACGUAGGGGGCGAGGGUUGUCCGGAAUGAUCGGGCGUAAAGGGCGCGUAGGCGGCCCGGUAAGUCUGAAGUGACAGUCCUGCUUUUAAGGUGGGAAUUGCUUUGGAUACUGUCGGGCUUGGGUGCCGAAGAGGUAAGGGGAAUCCCCGGUGUAGCGGUGAAAUGCGUAGAGAUCGGGAGGAACACCAGUGGCUCAGGCGGCUUACUAGGCUGUAACAGACGCUGAGGCGCGAAAGUGUGGGGAGCAAACAGGAUUAGAUACCCGUGUAGUCC
rnacentral:rRNA from 1 species